UACAGAGGUGGCAAGCGUUGUUCGGAAUUACUGGGCGUAAAGAGCGCGCAGGCGGCUGGUCAAGUCCGAUGUGAAAUCUCCCGGCUCAACUGGGAAACUGCAUCGGAAACUGAUCGGCUUGAAGGUGGGAGAGGGUAGUGGAAUUCCCGGUGUAGUGGUGAAAUGCGUAGAUAUCGGGAGGAACACCAGUGGCGAAGGCGACUACCUGGCCCAUUCUUGACGCUGAGGCGCGAAAGCUAGGGUAGCAAACGGG
rnacentral:rRNA from 1 species